rnacentral:rRNA from 1 species
AAUUAGAGUAGCGAAGCGUGUGAGCCAUGUGCCGAGAAAAGCCGCUAUUGUUUCAUGUGUGCCCGUACCGUAAACCGACACAGGUGGAUGAGGAGAGAAUCCUAAGGCCGGCGGAAGAAGCAUUGUUAAGGAACUCGGCAAAAUGACCCCGUAACUUCGGGAGAAGGGGUGCCUGCUAACGCAGGCCGCAGAGAAUAGGCUCAAGCAACUGUUUAGCAAAAACACAGGUCUAUGCGAAACCGAAAGGUGAAGUAUAUGGGCUGACGCCUGCCCGGUGCUGGAAGGUUAAGAGGAGAGGUUAGCGUAAGCGAAGCUUUGAAUUUAAGCCCCAGUAAACGGCGGCCGUAACAAUAAUGGUCCUAAGGUAGCGAAAUUCCUUGUCGGGUAAGUUCCGACCCGCACGAAAGGCGUAAUGAUUUGAGCACUGUCUCGACAAUGCAUCCGGUGAAAUUGAAGUACCAGUGAAGAUGCUGGUUACCCGCGCCAGGACGGAAAGACCCCAUGGAGCUUUACUCCAGUUUGGUACUGGGAUUCGGUACUGCAUGUACAGGAUAGGUGGGAGACUAAGAACUUGGGACGCCAGUUUCAAGGGAGUCGCUGUUGGGAUACCACCCUUGCAGUAUUGGAUUUCUAACCAGCCGCCGUGAUCCGGCGGUGGGACAAUGCCAGGCGGGGAGUUUGACUGGGGCGGUCGCCUCCGAAAGGGUAUCGGAGGCGCUCAAAGGUUCCCUCAGAAUGGUUGGAAACCAUUUGAAGAGUGCAAAGGCAGAAGGGAGCUUGACUGCGACACCGACGGGUGGAGCAGGUAGGAAACUAGGACUUAGUGAUCCGGUGGCAUAAAGUGGGAUUGCCAUCGCUCAACGGAUAAAAGCUACCCUGGGAUAACAUGCUUAUCACUCCCAAGAGUUCACAUCGACGGAGUGGUUUGGCACCUCGAUGUCGGCUCAUCGCAUCCUGGGGCUGUAGCAGGUCCCAAGGGUUGGGCUGUUCGCCCAUUAAAGCGGUACGCGAGCUGGGUUCAGAACGUCGUGAGACAGUUCGGUCCCUAUCCGGCGCGGGCGGAGGAUAUUUGAGAGGAGCUGUCCUUAGUACGAGAGGACCGGGAUGGACGGACCACUGGUGUAUCUGCUGUCGACCAACGGCAUGGCAGAGUAGCCAAGUCCGGAAGGGAUAAACGCUGAAGGCAUCUAAGCGUGAAGCCCCCCUCAAGAUGAGAUAUCCCUCACAUAAGUGAGUAAGAUCCCUUGAAGACUACAAGGUAGAUAGGGCAGAGGUGGAAGCACGGUAACGUGUGGAGCUGACUGUUACUAAUCGAUCGAGGGCUUGACCU